GGGAUAUAGCUCAGUUGGUAGAGUGCUUGCCUUGCAUGCACAAACCCUGGGUUCAAUCCCCAGCACACA
rnacentral:tRNA from 1 species